ACCCAUUAGCUUGCGAUGGAUAACGCUUGAAUUUUGUAUAUUCGAUAUUAAAAGAAAAAGAAUGUAAACAUUAGAAGUAAAACAAAGAUAAAUCAUUUGAUUGGCUGAUUCGAUCCACAUGAACUCAUUCUUAUACAUGUAAAAAUGAUAACUAACUUCUUUCUUUAACCUAUAAAAUGAAAUCAAACAGACCUAGACAAAUCUAAUUGUACGAGUUCCCUAUUUUUCUAUAUAAUGUUUAUGUUUAUGCCGUGUAAUGUGACCGUCGUCAGUGUUCGGAUGAUAUCUCAAUGGUUUAUCAGAUGGCCUCUAGACAUAAAUACACACGAAGUUUUUUAAUAAAUAUAUUGUUAACUGUUCAAUUCAGAUUUUGUAGUUUUAAUUUGUGUUUUGGUAUGCUAUAACAUCGAAUAUGAGAAUGUGAGUUUAAAUCGGUUUAAAUCAUUUUGAGAGUUAGUUCAUCUUUAACAAAAUUAAAACGAAUAAAGUUUAUGUCUAGGCUAUACUGAAAACUGAAAUGUUGUUUCGUGAGUCUAUCGAUAAGAUUAUACAAAGAAGAUGUUGCAUGAGUACCAAUGAUACAACUCUUAAACAUAGUCAAAAUGUGUUAAAAGUUAACAAUCGUAGGCAUGGCCUUCAACGCGGAGCCUUGGCUCACACCGACAAUUACCCCAAAAUAAAUAAACGUUUAACGAUUGAAACAGGUUAACCUGCAAUUUUAUACAAAGUGUCACACCUUACUUCUGCCUGAACUCCGUGGUACAUACUAAUAUAUUCUUGUAUCAUUAUUUUAUGAAGUACUUGAAGUUAAAAGUAAAAUAAAAAAAUGCUGAACUCAGAGGAAAAUCACAUCGGAAAGUCCCUAAUCACAUGGCAAAAUCAAAUGACAAAACACAUAACUAGAGGCUCUCAAGAGCCUGUGUCGCUUACCUUGGUCUAUGUGCAUAUUAAACAAUGGACACAGAUAAAUUC
rnacentral:lncRNA from 1 species